AGAACUUAAAUGAAUUGACGGGGGCCCGCACAAGCGGUGGAGCAUGUGGUUUAAUUCGACGAUACGCGAAGAACCUUACCCGGGUUUUGACAUGUAUCGAAGCAUCCAGAGAUGGAUGUGUCUCUUCGGAGACGGUAUGACAGGUGCUGCAUGGCUGUCGUCAGCUCGUGCCGUGAGAUGUUGGGUUAAGUCCCGCAACGAGCGCAACCCCUAUUGCUAGUUACCAUCAUUAAGUUGGGGACUCUAGCGAGACUGCCAGUGAUAAACUGGAGGAAGGUGGGGAUGACGUCAAAUCAUCAUGCCCCUUAUGACCUGGGCUACAAACGUGAUACAAUGGCUGGAACAAAGGGAUGCGAAGCAGUGAUGUGGAGCGAAACCCAUAAAAACAGUCUCAGUUCGGAUUGAAGUCUGCAACUCGACUUCAUGAAGUCGGAAUCGCUAGUAAUCGCGGAUCAGAACGCCGCGGUGAAUACGUUCUCGGGGUUU
rnacentral:rRNA from 1 species